UACGUAGGGUGCGAGCGUUAAUCGGAAUUACUGGGCGUAAAGCGUGCGCAGGCUGUUCUGUAAGUCAGAUGUGAAAUCCCCGAGCUCAACUUGGGAACUGCGUUUGAAACUACAGGACUAGAAUAUGUCAGAGGGGGGUAGAAUUCCACGUGUAGCAGUGAAAUGCGUAGAGAUGUGGAGGAAUACCAAUGGCGAAGGCAGCCCCCUGGGAUAAUAUUGACGCUCAUGCACGAAAGCGUGGGGAGCAAACAGG
rnacentral:rRNA from 2 species